rnacentral:snRNA from 15 species
AGAUAUGCAUGGCGCUGGGUUCAAGGUGAUCAAGAAUGCUUUGACCCCUGGUGGAGGCUCACUCACUAUUGCACCUCGGUGGGUUGAAACUCGCGACGGACUCUAAUCAGGUGCUCUCGGGCUUGUAGUUUUUUGUCAGUGGGGAGGCCUCACGGUCCUCCAU